rnacentral:rRNA from 1 species
GAGUUUGAUCCUGGCUCAGGACGAACGCUGGCGGCGUGCCUAAUACAUGCAAGUAGAACGCUGAAGACUUUAGCUUGCUAAAGUUGGAAGAGUUGCGAACGGGUGAGUAACGCGUAGGUAACCUGCCUACUAGCGGGGGAUAACUAUUGGAAACGAUAGCUAAUACCGCAUAACAGCAUUUAACCCAUGUUAGAUGCUUGAAAGGAGCAAUUGCUUCACUAGUAGAUGGACCUGCGUUGUAUUAGCUAGUUGGUGAGGUAACGGCUCACCAGGGCGACGAUACAUAGCCGACCUGAGAGGGUGAUCGGCCACACUGGGACUGAGACACGGCCCAGACUCCUACGGGAGGCAGCAGUAGGGAAUCUUCGGCAAUGGGGGCAACCCUGACCGAGCAACGCCGCGUGAGUGAAGAAGGUUUUCGGAUCGUAAAGCUCUGUUGUAAGAGAAGAACGUGUGUGAGAGUGGAAAGUUCACACAGUGACGGUAACUUACCAGAAAGGGACGGCUAACUACGUGCCAGCAGCCGCGGUAAUACGUAGGUCCCGAGCGUUGUCCGGAUUUAUUGGGCGUAAAGCGAGCGCAGGCGGUUUAAUAAGUCUGAAGUUAAAGGCAGUGGCUUAACCAUUGUUCGCUUUGGAAACUGUUAGACUUGAGUGCAGAAGGGGAGAGUGGAAUUCCAUGUGUAGCGGUGAAAUGCGUAGA